ACGGGUGAGUAACGCGUGGGAAUCUACCCAUCUCUACGGAACAACUCCGGGAAACUGGAGCUAAUACCGUAUACGUCCUUCGGGAGAAAGAUUUAUCGGAGAUGGAUGAGCCCGCGUUGGAUUAGCUAGUUGGUGGGGUAAUGGCCUACCAAGGCGACGAUCCAUAGCUGGUCUGAGAGGAUGAUCAGCCACAUUGGGACUGAGACACGGCCCAAACUCCUACGGGAGGCAGCAGUGGGGAAUAUUGGACAAUGGGCGAAAGCCUGAUCCAGCCAUGCCGCGUGAGUGAUGAAGGCCCUAGGGUUGUAAAGCUCUUUCAACGGUGAAGAUAAUGACGGUAACCGUAGAAGAAGCCCCGGCUAACUUCGUGCCAGCAGCCGCGGUAAUACGAAGGGGGCUAGCGUUGUUCGGAAUUACUGGGCGUAAAGCGCACGUAGGCGGAUAUUUAAGUCAGGGGUGAAAUCCCGGGGCUCAACCCCGGAACCGCCUUUGAUACUGGGUAUCUCGAGUCCGAGAGAGGUGAGUGGAAUUCCGAGUGUAGAGGUGAAAUUCGUAGA
rnacentral:rRNA from 1 species